GGGGUUGGGGCUCAGUGGUAGAGCACUUGCCUCACACGUGUGAGGCACUGGGUUCGACUCUCAGCACCA
rnacentral:tRNA from 1 species